UUAAACGGCCGCGGUAUUUUGACCGUGCAAAGGUAGCGCAAUCACUUGUCUUUUAAAUGAAGACCUGUAUGAAUGGUGAAACGAGGGCUUAACUGUCUCCCUCAUCCAGUCAAUGAAAUUGAUCUACCCGUGCAGAAGCGGGUAUAAAAAUACAAGACGAGAAGACCCUUUGGAGCUUAAGACAAAAGACCAACUAUGUCAAAAGUCCUAAAAAUGAGACUAAACCAAAUAAUACUGGUCCCAGUCUUCGGUUGGGGUGACCGCGGGAGAAAAUAAAGCUCCCAUGUGGACAGGGGAAAACCCCUAAAACUAAGAGAGACAUCUCUAAGACACAGAACAUCUGACCAUAAAGAUCCGGCUAUAUGCCGACCAACGGACCAAGUUACCCUAGGGAUAACAGCGCAAUCCCCUUCCAGAGUCCAUAUCGACAAGGGGGUUUACGACCUCGAUGUUGGAUCAGGACAUCCUAAUGGUGCAGCCGCUAUUAAGGGCUCGUUUG
rnacentral:rRNA from 1 species